rnacentral:lncRNA from 1 species
GGGUCCUUUGCCCAUUUUUUAAUCAGGUUAUUUUUUUCUUGCUACUGAGUUUGUCAUAUAUUUUGGAUAUUAACCCCAUGGCAGAUGCAUAGCUUGCAAAUACUUUCUCCCAUUCUGUAGGUUAUCUCUUCUCUCUGUUGAUAAAAACAAAAAUCAGCCAGGUGUGGUGGCACACGUCUGUAACUGCAGUUACGUGGGAGGCUGAGGCAGAAGAAUCACUUGAAUCUAGGAGGCAGAGGUUGCAGUGAGCUGAGAUCGCACCACUGUAGUAUCUUAGGAAUUUUAUACUCAAAUAAGCCAUUCACUGUUUAUGUGUGAAAGCAAGAAAAAGUCAUUUUCAGAUAUAUAAGAACUCAUAAAGUAUAAGACCUACAACUUUUUCCUGAAAUUAAAAAGUCUAUAAAAUUUUGCUGCUUUAAUUUUACUCUCUUCUGAAUUUUAUAUUAUUGUUUCUAUGUUUUUAAAGUUCUACAUACAUUUAAACUCCAGAAAACAUAUUGCGCUAAACAGUAUAUAUAUAUAAUAUAUACGUAUAGAUUUUUGCACAUUGAUUUUGUAUCCUGAGACUUUGCUGAAGUUAUCAGCUUAGGGAGCCUUUGGCCUGAGACUAUGGGGUUUUCCAGAUAUAGGAUAUGUCAUCUGCCAACAGGGAUAGUUUAACUUCUUCUCUUCCUAUUUAAAUGAUCUUUAUUUCUUUCUCUUGUCUGAUUGCCUCAUCCAAAAUUUCCAGCACUAUGUUGAAUAGGAGUAGUGAGAGAGGGCAUCUUUGUCUUGUGCUGGUAUUCAAGGGGAAUGCCCUAAAAAGAAUUAUUUCUUAGGCCGGGUGCGGUGGCUCUUCUAAGAAUCAUAACCAGGUCCUCUCAGAUUGUAGCAAGAGACAACAUUCAAAUACAAUGACAGCUUUGUUUCAUACUGACUUUAUUUUUGUUAAAAAUAAAUUCUUAAACAUAAAGAUACUUUACAUGAGGGAAGAUUUAAUAGGAUAUUAUCUAUGCUCUUGGGUUAGUCAUCAUGAAGCAUAUAUAACACAACAUCAGGUAAGAUUAAAAAGAGAGAACUGCAGGUUGCCAAAUUUAAAAGUCUGAUGGAGAGGAAUGGUGGGCUAGAUAAUACAGAUCAACCAUGCCAUUGAGGACAACUACAAAAGCAAAAAUGUCCUCCAGGAAAUUAAAGUAAAAGAAAGAGAUUGUCAGACAAAAGAGAAUUCAUCUUCAGCAGACCAGUCUUAAAGAAAAUAUUAAAUGGUGUUUUUAAGAUUAAAGGAAGCUUGGAGAUGAUGAAAGAAAUGAAGAGCAAAAAUAAGAAUGGUAAACGUAGGUAAAUUAAAAGAAAAGCAACUGUGUAAAACAGCAAUUAUAAUGGAUUGUGGAGUUUUAAAUAUUUAUAUGGAAUUAACAUACCUGACAAUGACAGCCU